rnacentral:lncRNA from 1 species
UGAAAAUUGACAUAAAGAAGAGUUGAGAAGCAAACCAGUUGUGCCCUCUUGUGCCCCCCACCACCUGGUCACAGCGCUUUGUGGAACUGUGGAUUGCUUAACAGCCUCAAGAAACCAGCAGGGUGAGAAGGCCAGAACUAUGCUCAGCAAAUGCAGGAAUGAAGCACAGUUCUCUGCCUUUGAUUGGGAGAAAAAAGAAAAGUCCAGAGCUGGAGUGUUUGUGUCAUACCCAAGAUAAUGGGUAUCUUUAACCAACAAACUCAACCAACCAACCAACAAACCCCUUUCUUCAGAAGGACUUUCAAAUGAACAAGGACAUCGCUGCGAGAAGCAGAAAAAUAGAGACCCUGUAAAGAAGGCAUUACCAUGAUUAUGAUCUCCAUUUUACAAAAUGAGAAAACGGAGACUUAGCAAGAGACGUUAAGAACCUUGCCCAGGUUCCUACAGCUGAGAAGCCGAGGAGCCAGGAAUCCAUUCCAGCUUUGUCUUACUGGAGAGUCUCAACCACUGAGAAGUGAGCCGAAGACGUUUCUCCGGUUUCAUGUCCUGGGAAGCUCCUGGACACUCUGUCAAGAGGCAGGGAGUGCCCUGUUGUUCUUGUGUAUCUUCAUCUCCGUUCCUAACUAUGGAUGGGCAUUUCCACUUCUCUUCCCUCAAAAAGGGCCACACACAGCUGAUACCAUGGGCCCUAGGAGAAGGACACCUGGCGAGGACAUCUAAUCCUGUCUGGCAGGAACAUUUGAGACUCAGGACUCCUGAAAGUUUACUUACCUCAUCCCUCCGCUUUCAGCCAACUCUUGCUGACAGGCUCUUCCAGAGAAAGUUUGCCCUGUGACCUGAGCCAGAACACACCCCAACCCUCUCUGGAGAGAAGCAGAGUCAAGGAAAGAAGAGAUUUCAUAGUGUGGACAGUGUUGGUUCUUCAGCGCCGAGGCCUCUCGAGUGUUGGUUUGCGUUUCUCACAGGCGGAGAGCACAGCAGGAAGGCCUGCUGUAGGAAGAGGAAGGACUUAAGGGGGAGGACUUCCAGGCAGGGAGGAGGUAGACAAGUCAGAGGAGGCUCCCAGAGGCUGUGUCCUUUUCUGCCUUUUGGCCUUUCUGAGAAUACCAAGAUGGAGAUCUGAGCUUUUAGCACCCAAGGUCCUGCCAGAUCCCAGAAAGCACAAAUCGGAGACGGGCCAACCUAAAGUUAAGUGAAUAAAUAAUGAGUGAUCAGGGAGCUGCAACUUGACCAUCAAAUUUUAUGCUUAAUUUAAAUCUUAGAGAGGAAAACUUAUAAUCGUGUCUUCAGGCUCAGUUUCCUAACAUAUUUCUCUUUGUAAAAGUACUAUUUUUUUCAUAAGCAACUGGAAGAUUUCAAGUGUUUCCAAAGAACCUUUAUAAAAUCCCUAGCAGAGUCUCCAGUAAAGCUAUAAAUUGUAUUUCUUGUCCUUAAAAAAAAUUAUUGUGUUCUGUUCUCCAG